UACGAAGGGGGCUAGCGUUGUUCGGAAUCACUGGGCGUAAAGCGCUCGUAGGCGGAUCUUUAAGUCAGAGGUGAAAUCCCAAGGCUCAACCUUGGAACUGCCUUUGAUACUGGGGAUCUCGAGUCCGGGAGAGGUGAGUGGAACUGCGAGUGUAGAGGUGAAAUUCGUAGAUAAUUCGCAAAAACACCAGUGGCGAAGGCGGCUCACUGGCCCGGUACUGACGCUGAGGAGCGAAAGCGUGGGGAGCAAACAGG
rnacentral:rRNA from 1 species